GUACGGGAGGCAGCAGUGAGGAAUAUUGGUCAAUGGGCGGAAGCCUGAACCAGCCAUGCCGCGUGCAGGAAGACGGCCCUAAGGGUUGUAAACUGCUUUUAUACGGGGGUAAUUUUCGGUUUGCGAACCGAAUUGAAAGUACUGUAAGAAUAAGCGUCGGCUAACUACGUGCCAGCAGCCGCGGUAAUACGUAGGACGCGAGCGUUAUCCGGAUUUAUUGGGUUUAAAGGGUGCGUAGGCGGACAAAUAAGUCAGCGGUGAAAGACUGUCGCUCAACGAUAGCAUUGCCGUUGAUACUGUAUGUCUUGAGUACAGUUGAGGUAGGCGGAAUGUGUAGUGUAGCGGUGAAAUGCUUAGAUAUUACACAGAACACCGAUUGCGGAGGCAGCUUACUAAGCUGUAACUGACGCUGAUGCACGAAAGCGUGGGGAUCAAACAGGAUUAGAUACCCUGGUAGC
rnacentral:rRNA from 1 species